GUCGACUUGGGAACAAGAAGACGAAAUCAAAGAAAAAUAUCCCUAUCACUUUCAGUAAUCAGGUACACAAAUUUACAUGACUAAAUUAUUUAAAGGGGGAAGAAUGUAACAAUCCUAAACUUUUGAAAAAAAUAAAAAUAAAUUGAAAUAGUUAUUUAUAAUGUGGUGAUCCAUAUGAACAUUUUGGUCCUUAGGGACUAUUUGUUUUGUCUUUUCUGAUAUAUUUGGAAAGAGGCUUUUGAAACACGUUGAGGACAAUUAGCCAUUUCGUUAAAUAAAAUAGUUCAAAACAAUUUAUUUUAUUUUUUAAUAUUUUUGAAUAUGGUACAAGUCUAUUUUUAUAGUGUAGACCUUAUGGUCUACAUUGCAUUUGCACUAUGUUUUACCUUACAAGAGGGUAGCAUCUCCAACACCCUUACGUAGGACCCAGUUUGCCAGUAUAGACCUUUGCUCCACCAACUUUUACAAAAUCGUUGUUUUAAGGAUAUGCUUCCUCACCCUACGUGGCAACCCAAC
rnacentral:lncRNA from 1 species